UACAGAGGUCCCAAGCGUUGUUCGGAUUCACUGGGCGUAAAGGGUGCGUAGGCGGUCGGGUAAGUCUGACGUGAAAGCCCGCAGCUCAACUGCGGAAUUGCGUCGGAUACUAUCCGGCUAGAGGGUAGGAGGGGGGACUGGAAUUCUCGGUGUAGCAGUGAAAUGCGUAGAUAUCGAGAGGAACACCGGUGGCGAAGGCGAGUCCCUGGAAUACUCCUGACGCUGAGGCACGAAAGCUGGGGGAGCAAACAGG
rnacentral:rRNA from 1 species